GAUGAACGCUGGCGGCGUGCCUAAUACAUGCAAGUCGAGCGAAUGGAUUAAGAGCUUGCUCUUAUGAAGUUAGCGGCGGACGGGUGAGUAACACGUGGGUAACCUGCCCAUAAGACUGGGAUAACUCCGGGAAACCGGGGCUAAUACCGGAUAACAUUUUGAACGGCAUGGUUCGAAAUUGAAAGGCGGCUUCGGCUGUCACUUAUGGAUGGACCCGCGUCGCAUUAGCUAGUUGGUGAGGUAACGGCUCACCAAGGCAACGAUGCGUAGCCGGCCUGAGAGGGUGAUCGGCCACACUGGGAGUGAGACACGGCCCAGACGCCUACGGGAGGCAGCAGUAGGGAAUCUUCCGCAAUGGACGAAAGUCUGACGGAGCAACGCCGCGUGAGUGAUGAAGGCUUUCGGGUCGUAAAACUCUGUUGUAAGGGAAGAACAAGUGCUAGUUGAAUAAGCUGGAACCUUGACGGUACCUAACCAGAAAGCCACGGCUAACUACGUGCCAGCAGCCGCGGUAA
rnacentral:rRNA from 1 species